rnacentral:rRNA from 1 species
CGAGCGCGGGAAGCGAACGGAACUCUUCGGAGGGAAGUUCGUGGAACGAGCGGCGGACGGGUGAGUAACACGUAGGCAACCUGCCUGUAAGACUGGGAUAACUCGCGGAAACGCGAGCUAAUACCGGAUAACACUUUCUAUCACCUGAUGGAAAGUUGAAAGGCGGCUUUUGCUGUCACUUACAGAUGGGCCUGCGGCGCAUUAGCUAGUUGGUGAGGUAACGGCUCACCAAGGCGACGAUGCGUAGCCGACCUGAGAGGGUGAUCGGCCACACUGGGACUGAGACACGGCCCAGACUCCUACGGGAGGCAGCAGUAGGGAAUCUUCCGCAAUGGACGAAAGUCUGACGGAGCAACGCCGCGUGAGUGAUGAAGGUUUUCGGAUCGUAAAACUCUGUUGUCAGGGAAGAACAAGUACGAUAGUAACUGAUCGUACCUUGACGGUACCUGACCAGAAAGCCACGGCUAACUACGUGCCAGCAGCCGCGGUAAUACGUAGGUGGCAAGCGUUGUCCGGAAUUAUUGGGCGUAAAGCGCUCGCAGGCGGUUCUUUAAGUCUGAUGUGAAAUCUUGCGGCUCAACCGCAAACGUGCAUUGGAAACUGGAGGACUUGAGUGCAGAAGAGGAGAGUGGAAUUCCACGUGUAGCGGUGAAAUGCGUAGAGAUGUGGAGGAACACCAGUGGCGAAGGCGACUCUCUGGUCUGUAACUGACGCUGAGGAGCGAAAGCGUGGGGAGCGAACAGGAUUAGAUACCCUGGUAGUCCACGCCGUAAACGAUGAGUGCUAGGUGUUAGGGGGUUUCCGCCCCUUAGUGCUGAAGUUAACG